UACAUAGGGUGCGAGCGUUUGUCCGGAAUUAUUGGGCGUAAAGAGCUCGUAGGCGGUGUGUCGCGUCGGCCGUGAAAACCUGGGGCUCAACUCUGGGCGUGCGGUCGAUACGGGCAUCACUUGAGUUCGGCAGGGAGACUGGAAUUCCUGGUGUAGCGGUGAAAUGCGCAGAUAUCAGGAGGAACACCGAUGGCGAAGGCAGGUCUCUGGGCAUUAACUGACGCUGAGGAGCGAAAGCAUGGGGAGCGAACAGG
rnacentral:rRNA from 1 species